GAGUUUGAUCAUGGCUCAGAACGAACGCUGGCGGCAGGCCUAACACAUGCAAGUCGAACGCGUGUAGCAAUACACGAGUGGCGCACGGGUGAGUAACACGUGGGAAUCAACCCAGAGGUUCGGAAUAACCGCGGGAAACUGCGGCUAAUACCGGAUAUCCCCUACGGGGGAAAGAUUUAUCGCCUUUGGACGAGCCCGCGUCCGAUUAGCUAGUUGGUGAGGUAACGGCUCACCAAGGCUACGAUCGGUAGCUGGUCUGAGAGGAUGACCAGCCACACUGGAACUGAGAUACGGUCCAGACUCCUACGGGAGGCAGCAGUGGGGAAUAUUGGGCAAUGGAGGCAACUCUGACCCAGCCAUGCCGCGUGGGUGACGAAGGUCUUCGGAUUGUAAAGCCCUUUCGGCGGGGACGAUGAUGACGGUACCCGCAGAAGAAGCCCCGGCUAACUUCGUGCCAGCCGCCGCAGUAAC
rnacentral:rRNA from 1 species